rnacentral:rRNA from 1 species
CAGUAGCCGCGGUAAUACGAAGGGGGCUAGCGUUGCUCGGAAUCACUGGGCGUAAAGGGUGCGUAGGCAGGUCUUUAAGUCAGGGGUGAAAUCCUGGAGCUCAACUCCAGAACUGCCUUUGAUACUGAAGAUCUUGAGUUCGGGAGAGGUGAGUGGAACUGCGAGUGUAGAGGUGAAAUUCGUAGAUAUUCGCAAGAACACCAGUGGCGAAGGCGGCUCACUGGCCCGAUACUGACGUUCAUACACGAAAGCGUGGGGAGCAAACAGGAUUAGAUACCCCGGUAGUCCCUGUCUCUUAUAC